ACAAUGUGAUGGCAUGAAUGGCUGGAUUUAUGGUUUGUGGAUUAUAUAAACUGUUUUGUUUUUACCUUGACAGGUUGGGUAAUAUUAUAUUAGUCAUUUCAUGCUGUCGAAAUUUUUAUUAAUUUGGUGGGUUAUUUGAUUAGCUUACUGCAGUGGGCGGGUUUCCAUGGACCAACCUAUUAGAAGGGCAUGGUAAACCCUGUUAUAUUUUACCUUAGUACGAGAGGCGCGGAGGGUAUCUCGUAAGGUAAGUUUAGAGUUCACUUCACGUCGAACCACCACGUGAGGAUGAAACUCAGCCAACGUCAAGGAAUGGCUAUAUUUUAAAAGUAAAAACAUGUUUUAUGGGUAUAUGUCGUUUUAACAUCCUUGGCGGAUUCGGUUGGAUGCUUAGGCCAAGGUGUCCCCGAGUAUGAGUUUUGGCACAAGCCAAGUUUUAAGAUAAUCAUAAGCCUUGUUGAUUAUUUUGAUGAAAUAUAAUUGUUUUAUAUGAAUUGAAAUGAGUUUUAAAUGUUAUGAAUCAUAUUGUGAUGGGAUGAUUUAACUGUCUCCAUUUACUCGGCUUUAGAUGUUGUAGAUGAAAUUUGCUUACUCACUGAGUUUAUAAAAACUCACCCCUUCUUUCUACCCAUUUCAGGCUCAGGAUAGUUUGUAGACAGCCGAUUUUGUUGAUGGUUGCUUUUGGAUUUGCAUCCUUAGAAAUCGAAGGUCUACAAUCUAGUAUAUUUUCGGUUAUAUUGGGGCCCACAUGUCAUUGUAGAAUAUUUUUGUAUACCUGGUUUAGUGUGCUAUUAUAUAUAUGAAUUUUAUUUUACUCUUAGGCUACAAAAAUUGUUUAUGCAGGAUUCUAUAAAUAUUGUUUUAUAAGAAAAUAGAAUAUUUUAUUUAAUAUUUUUAUUUAGUUUGAUUAGCCAUAAUUUCAUUUUAAAUGGAUGAUUUAGAUUACUAAAAUUAUUUUUAGAUAAGAAAUGUAUAUUUUUCGAUCAUAUGUUGUAUAUUCACUAGGUUUCAAAAUUUUUGGGUAAAAAUGACCAAAAUACCCUUGUGUGGUAGAAAUUACUUUUUAUUUGUUUUUUAUUUAAAAAUAUUUUAUAUUCCCUUAAAACAUGAUAUUUAGUAACUGUUACUCACAGGAGAGACAUAGAAUUGAUGCAAGAGCCUUACGAGGUUUCGGUUGACAUUUCGGGUAAUGAAUGUCUAUUGAGACAUCGCGGCGGUUGUCACGGGCUUGAAGGGAGUACUGGGUCGUGACAGAUAUAAUAUAUAAAG
rnacentral:lncRNA from 1 species